UACGUAGGGGGCGAGCGUUGUCCGGAUUUAUUGGGCGUAAAGCGCGCGUAGGCGGUGAGUUAAGCUAGCUGUGAAAUCCCUGGGCUCAACCUGGGAACUGCAGUUAGAACUGGCUCGCUAGAGUACAGCAGAGGAUAGUGGAAUUUCAGGUGUAGCGGUGAAAUGCGUAGAUAUCUGAAGGAACACCAGUGGCGAAGGCGGCCUCCUGGAUCUGUACUGACACUGAGGUGCGAAAGCGUGGGUAGCGAACAGG
rnacentral:rRNA from 1 species